ACGCGAGGAACCUUACCAGGUCUUGACAUCCCGCUGACCGUCCUGGAGACAGGAUUUUCCCUUCGGGGACAGCGGUGACAGGUGGUGCAUGGUUGUCGUCAGCUCGUGUCGUGAGAUGUUGGGUUAAGUCCCGCAACGAGCGCAACCCUUGAUCUUAGUUGCCAGCAUUUAGUUGGGCACUCUAAGGUGACUGCCGGUGACAAACCGGAGGAAGGUGGGGAUGACGUCAAAUCAUCAUGCCCCUUAUGACCUGGGCUACACACGUGCUACAAUGGAUGGUACAAAGGGCUGCAAGACUGCGAAGUCAAGCCAAUCCCAUAAAACCAUUCUCAGUUCGGAUUGCAGGCUGCAACUCGCCUGCAUGAAGCCGGAAUCGCUAGUAAUCGCGGAUCAGCAUGCCGCGGUGAAUACGUUCCCGGGCCUUGCACACACCGCCCGU
rnacentral:rRNA from 1 species